AGCGUACACGGUGGAUGCCCUGGCAGUCAGAGGCGAUGAAGGACGUGCUAAUCUGCGAUAAGCGUCGGUAAGGUGAUAUGAACCGUUAUAACCGGCGAUUUCCGAAUGGGGAAACCCAGUGUGAUUCGUCACACUAUCAUUAACUGAAUCCAUAGGUUAAUGAGGCGAACCGGGGGAACUGAAACAUCUAAGUACCCCGAGGAAAAGAAAUCAACCGAGAUUCCCCCAGUAGCGGCGAGCGAACGGGGAGCAGCCCAGAGCCUGAAUCAGUGUGUGUGUUAGUGGAAGCGUCUGGAAAGGCGCGCGAUACAGGGUGACAGCCCCGUACACAAAAAUGCACAUGCUGUGAGCUCGAUGAGUAGGGCGGGACACGUGGUAUCCUGUCUGAAUAUGGGGGGACCAUCCUCCAAGGCUAAAUACUCCUGACUGACCGAUAGUGAACCAGUACCGUGAGGGAAAGGCGAAAAGAACCCCGGCGAGGGGAGUGAAAAAGAACCUGAAACCGUGUACGUACAAGCAGUGGGAGCACGCUUCGGCGUGUGACUGCGUACCUUUUGUAUAAUGGGUCAGCGACUUAUAUUCUGUAGCAAGGUUAACCGAAUAGGGGAGCCGAAGGGAAACCGAGUCUUAACUGGGCGUUAAGUUGCAGGGUAUAGACCCGAAACCCGGUGAUCUAGCCAUGGGCAGGUUGAAGGUUGGGUAACACUAACUGGAGGACCGAACCGACUAAUGUUGAAAAAUUAGCGGAUGACUUGUGGCUGGGGGUGAAAGGCCAAUCAAACCGGGAGAUAGCUGGUUCUCCCCGAAAGCUAUUUAGGUAGCGCCUCGUGAAUUCAUCUCCGGGGGUAGAGCACUGUUUCGGCAAGGGGGUCAUCCCGACUUACCAACCCGAUGCAAACUGCGAAUACCGGAGAAUGUUAUCACGGGAGACACACGGCGGGUGCUAACGUCCGUCGUGAAGAGGGAAACAACCCAGACCGCCAGCUAAGGUCCCAAAGUCAUGGUUAAGUGGGAAACGAUGUGGGAAGGCCCAGACAGCCAGGAUGUUGGCUUAGAAGCAGCCAUCAUUUAAAGAAAGCGUAAUAGCUCACUGGUCGAGUCGGCCUGCGCGGAAGAUGUAACGGGGCUAAACCAUGCACCGAAGCUGCGGCAGCGACGCUGAUGCGUUGUUGGGUAGGGGAGCGUUCUGUAAGCCUGUGAAGGUGUGCUGUGAGGCAUGCUGGAGGUAUCAGAAGUGCGAAUGCUGACAUAAGUAACGAUAAAGCGGGUGAAAAGCCCGCUCGCCGGAAGACCAAGGGUUCCUGUCCAACGUUAAUCGGGGCAGGGUGAGUCGACCCCUAAGGCGAGGCCGAAAGGCGUAGUCGAUGGGAAACAGGUUAAUAUUCCUGUACUUGGUGUUACUGCGAAGGGGGGACGGAGAAGGCUAUGUUGGCCGGGCGACGGUUGUCCCGGUUUAAGCGUGUAGGCUGGUUUUCCAGGCAAAUCCGGAAAAUCAAGGCUGAGGCGUGAUGACGAGGCACUACGGUGCUGAAGCAACAAAUGCCCUGCUUCCAGGAAAAGCCUCUAAGCAUCAGGUAACAUCAAAUCGUACCCCAAACCGACACAGGUGGUCAGGUAGAGAAUACCAAGGCGCUUGAGAGAACUCGGGUGAAGGAACUAGGCAAAAUGGUGCCGUAACUUCGGGAGAAGGCACGCUGAUAUGUAGGUGAAGUCCCUCGCGGAUGGAGCUGAAAUCAGUCGAAGAUACCAGCUGGCUGCAACUGUUUAUUAAAAACACAGCACUGUGCAAACACGAAAGUGGACGUAUACGGUGUGACGCCUGCCCGGUGCCGGAAGGUUAAUUGAUGGGGUCAGCGCAAGCGAAGCUCUUGAUCGAAGCCCCGGUAAACGGCGGCCGUAACUAUAACGGUCCUAAGGUAGCGAAAUUCCUUGUCGGGUAAGUUCCGACCUGCACGAAUGGCGUAAUGAUGGCCAGGCUGUCUCCACCCGAGACUCAGUGAAAUUGAACUCGCUGUGAAGAUGCAGUGUACCCGCGGCAAGACGGAAAGACCCCGUGAACCUUUACUAUAGCUUGACACUGAACAUUGAGCCUUGAUGUGUAGGAUAGGUGGGAGGCUUUGAAGUGUGGACGCCAGUCUGCAUGGAGCCGACCUUGAAAUACCACCCUUUAAUGUUUGAUGUUCUAACGUUGACCCGUAAUCCGGGUUGCGGACAGUGUCUGGUGGGUAGUUUGACUGGGGCGGUCUCCUCCUAAAGAGUAACGGAGGAGCACGAAGGUUGGCUAAUCCUGGUCGGACAUCAGGAGGUUAGUGCAAUGGCAUAAGCCAGCUUGACUGCGAGCGUGACGGCGCGAGCAGGUGCGAAAGCAGGUCAUAGUGAUCCGGUGGUUCUGAAUGGAAGGGCCAUCGCUCAACGGAUAAAAGGUACUCCGGGGAUAACAGGCUGAUACCGCCCAAGAGUUCAUAUCGACGGCGGUGUUUGGCACCUCGAUGUCGGCUCAUCACAUCCUGGGGCUGAAGUAGGUCCCAAGGGUAUGGCUGUUCGCCAUUUAAAGUGGUACGCGAGCUGGGUUUAGAACGUCGUGAGACAGUUCGGUCCCUAUCUGCCGUGGGCGCUGGAGAACUGAGGGGGGCUGCUCCUAGUACGAGAGGACCGGAGUGGACGCAUCACUGGUGUUCGGGUUGUCAUGCCAAUGGCACUGCCCGGUAGCUAAAUGCGGAAGAGAUAAGUGCUGAAAGCAUCUAAGCACGAAACUUGCCCCGAGAUGAGUUCUCCCUGACUCCUUGA
rnacentral:rRNA from 1 species